GACGAACCGAGCGAACGUUAUUCGGAAUCACUGGGCUUAAAGGGUGCGUAGGCGGGCUGUCAAGUCUGGGGUGAAAUCCGGCAGCUUAACUGUCGAACUGCCUCAGAUACUGAUGGCCUCGAGGGAGGUAGGGGCAUGCGGAACUGUAGGUGGAGCGGUGAAAUGCGUUGAUAUCCACAGGAACUCCGGUGGCGAAAGCGGCGUGCUGGACCUCUUCUGACGCUGAGGCACGAAAGCUAGGGGAGCAAACGGG
rnacentral:rRNA from 1 species